AUGUUGCUUUCAGUCUCUCAGAUUCUCUCUUUAUUCUCCAGUACAAAUUCUCUAAUAUCCAUGUUUCUUCAGAGGAAGAGCAGUUCUCCAGAGACGGAGGAGAAAGUGAAGAGGUUGAGGAAGAAGAACACCGAACUCGCUGUCAUCGCCAAACGUUUGGAGGAGAGAGCGCGGAAACUACAGGAAGCCAACCUGAAAGUGGGUCCUGUGGGAGUCAGUGAGUUUGAGCGUCUCCUGAAGGAGUCUCAGAAGGAGGUGUUGCGUCUGCAGAGGCAGCUGUCUGUCACCUCCACCAGAGACCAGAGCAGUGUGACGGCAGAAAACCCUUCAGAGAAUCAGGGCCGAGACAGCAGGGUGAGAGCAAAAACACGCCCAUGUUUCCCAACACUGAGCAAAAACAUCAGCAUCUCUGAUGAAAGUGAGUUGGGCAAGAAGAGGAAAGAAUGUGAAGUUCUUGAGCAUGAGGUGCGGAAGAGACAGAAACGAUGUCUUGAUUUGGAGAACCAGCUAGUGGACGAGCACAGCAGAAAUGAGCACUUAGUGGAGGAGGCAGAACUCCUCAGGAGAAAGUCGCAGGCUGAAAAUGAGGAGCUAAAGGAACAGCUCUGUGUUUUGAACGCUCAGCAUAGUUCAGUUCUGGAGGAGAACCAGCGACUCCGUGCAAAGCUGGAGAACCUAGAGCAGGUCCUAAAGCACAUGCGAGACGUCGCCGAGCGCAGGCAGCAGCUGGAAUUGGAGCAUGAGCAGGCACUGGCUAUCCUCAAGUUCAAACAGGAUGAAAUCAAGCGACUCCAGCGGGCUCAAUUAUUUGCUAAAAGAGAACAUGAAGGUGUCGUGCAGAUGCUGGAGGUGAGUUUUACAUCUCAUUGCUUUGCAAAAGUUCGUGAGCUGGAGGAGAAAUGCCGCAGUCAGAGCGAGCAGUUCGGGAUGCUGUCACAGGAACUGGACAAAUUCAGGGUUCAGGCCUCAAAGAUCGACCUGUCGGACCCCAGCCCGACCCAGCUGACCAAUGGGGUCGGCCUGUCCGGUGAGACUAAAAUACCGAUCAUUACACGACACAUAACAGAUGUCCCUACGCCACCCAGAUCUGAGACAACUCACCUUUCUCCCAAAUCUGCCAGCCCCCGAAAGGUGGACACUGCUAGUGAAGUUGAGGAGCUGGAUAUUGAUGUUUCUCCGGCGCUGUAUUCAGUCAGUAAAGGAGCAGCGAAACUCCAGGUCUUCAUCGCACGGUACAGUUACAAUCCCUAUGAUGGUCCUAAUGAUAACCCAGAGGUCGAGUUGCCCCUCACAGCAGGAGAGUACAUUUACGUCUACGGAGACAUGGAUGAUGAUGGCUUUUAUGAGGGCGAGCUGAUGGACGGCAGAAGAGGCCUCGUUCCCUCCAACUUUGUGGAGCGCGUGUCAGAUGAUGACUUCAUGAGCUCACACCCUCACCAGGCUGGCGAUAUGUCCCAUAAUUCCAUCCAGGAGAGCAGCUUCCACAGCGGCAGCGAGCGGCUGCACCAACACCACUUACGCUUCGCCCACAGCGCCUCCGAGAGGACGGAGACCUCCACGACAGCCUCGGCUCCUGAGGAGGUUGGGGUGGACACUGUGCCUUACCCUCGCAAGCUAGCGCUAAUCAAGCAGUUAGCCAAGAGUGUCAUCAUCGGCUGGGAGUCUCCGCUGGUCCCGGCCGGCUGGGGUUCUGUGUUUAGCUAUAAUGUCUACAUAGACCAUGAGUUGCGACACAACGUGCCAUUUGGUACCCAAACGAAGGCUGUUCUGGAGAGGCUAGAUUUGGCACAGAAGGCGUAUCGGAUUGCGGUGCAGUGCCUCACGGAGCGAGGCAACUCGGAUCAGCUGCGUUGCAGUAUACUAGUCGGACGGGACGUGAACGUAGCGCCGACUCACCUGUGCGUUGAACGCAUAACGGCUACCUCGGCCAGCCUAACCUGGCUGCCUAGCAACAGUAACUAUGUGCACAUUGUGUCUUUAAACGACGAGGAGUGUGAGCUGGUAAAGGCGGGAUGCUAUUCACUGUGCCUCAGCAACCUCACACCCAACAUGCAUUACAACGUUAAAGUGGAGGCCAGGCCGCACCGCACAGCCUGGGAACUACCGCCGGAGUGCCGAGAACGCAAAACCGCAGUGACCUCUUUCACAACCCAGACUGCAGGUCCUCCUGAUGCUCCUCUGGAUGUGCAGUUGGAGCAGGGCCCAUCUCCGGGAAUAGCUCAGAUCAGCUGGCUGCCCGUUACUAUAGAUGCUGCUGGGACGUCCAAUGGUGUACGAGUCACUGGCUACACCAUCUACGCUGACAAGAAGAAGGUAUUAGAGGUGUCGUCACCCACAGCAGGCAGCGCUCUGAUUGGUCCAUCUCAGAUCCAAACAUUACAGGCGGCCCGUGAGCUCACCGUGCGGACCAUGUCAGCUUUUGGUGAGUCAGUGGACUCAUUGCCGGUGAAUGUGCCCGCCAAAUUGCCUGCCAUCAUGUCCGGUGCCUCAUUGCCUCAAUGCCAGUCUGUGCCAGCCACCGCCAGUGUCCUCACGGCCAGUGCCAACCCAGAUCCUGUGAGUGUAUCUACACGCAUGGUUACACCUGCACCCGUGGUCGUGCCUGUGCCUGUUGCUACUCCAACAUCCAUGGCCGUACCUGCUCCCUUGACCACACCAGGACCCAUGCCCACACCAGUGUCCAUGACAGUGCCAGGUCCUGUAGUUCUGCCGGCACCUGCCACCAUGCCUGUGCCCAUGGCUGCGCCCAUACCUGCACCUACACAUGCACCUAUUGUUGAACCUGCAUCAGUGCCAGUGCAGUCUAGUGUGGCUCCUGCUGUGCAGAACCCAAGCAGAGAGACAGACAGCCCAGGAGGCCUGCGUCCUGUUGCCUCCCUCUCCGACUUCUUGGAGGACCCACGUGCCAAACUUCACACACCACCACCACCCACCAUACUUGUCAUUUACGUUCUUCUGUUCUUAUAUUUCCUAUGUUGCAUUUUAAUUUUCUUGUUUCUUUUCCUUGUUUUGUUCUAUUUUCCACUUUUGACACCAAUCAAACCUUUGCCUCCUCUGUAUGUUCUCGAUCUUUCACCUUGCUCGUUUUCUACUCUGUCUGCAUUGUGGGAACCUGACAGCGAUGAAGAAAUUUUGGAGAGGAUUAUAAAGCUCCCCCCUCAAGCCUACCGCAACAAGCAGCUCUUUAGCAUCCCAGAAGUCACGGACGAAGAAGACAACACUGAAUCUGAACCCCACACUAGGUCUUCCCCAGGCCGGACUACUUCUGGCAAGGGCCGCCAGAGUGGACAUGAGGGUCGUCGACAUUCCCCCCACCAUCGCAAUCAGGGACAUAAAAUGGAAUCUGAUUCACCCAUAGUGAGGUACAAAGGGACUGUGCCAGUCAGGACUAGACCCAGAGUGCACUACGCUGACACGGUGGACACCAUCAACUAUCUGGAUGAGGAGGAGGUGGAUUUGUGUUUGCUCUUUGGUGUUGCAGAGCCCAGAGCAUCUGGAGAAAAUGAGGUGAGAGUCUUUGUUGCCCUCUUCCCAUAUGAUCCUGCAGUCAUGUCACCCAAUCCUGAUGCUGCUGAAGAAGAGCUUCCCUUUAAAGAAGGCCAGAUUAUCAAGGUUUAUGGGGACAAAGAUGCAGAUGGUUUCUACUGGGGUGAGGCGGGUGGCCAUCGUGGCUAUGUGCCGUGUAAUAUGGUUUCAGAGAUCCAGGUUGAUGAUGAGGAGACCAGAGACCAGCUCCUGAUGCAGGGCUUCCUCUCCACAGAGGCUUCAAUGGAUAAGAUAGGUGCGUUUAUCGGCGCAUGCGUCAGACUCCUUCCACGCCGUCCCGCUGCACCGCCGAAACCUAGACGCUCCAAGAAAGGUGUGUGUCAGCGCUCGCUGUCUCCUCCUGCUCUCCGAGAUUUCACCUGCGUUUGCUCCAGACCUCGCAGGAUGGUGGCCAUCUUUGACUACGACCCGAGAGAGAGUUCUCCCAAUGCAGACAUAGAGGCUGAACUGACCUUCAGCACGGGCGACAUCAUCUAUGUGUUCGGUGACAUGGAAGAUGACGGCUUCUACUAUGUGAGUUUCUUUCGUGCCUGUCUGUCUGUUAGUAUAUUCAUAAUAAAUAGGAGUUUUGUGCAAUGA
rnacentral:lncRNA from 1 species